AAAACCCUAUUUUCUAAGGAAUUAGGGCUAGAUUGUGGUUGCUCUAUACAUUAUACUAUAUAUAAGCCCUUAAUCUACAGCCUCGUCUCUCUCAUCUGUUCUCUAUGUUCUCUUUCCUUUCCCUGCUAUUUCCUAUAGUUUGAAAUAAUUGUGUUUUGAAUUUUUGUGUGUUUAAUCUAACUAAAAUUGCCUCCCCUUUCAGCUACAGGAUAUAGAUCUAAUGAUCCUUUCUUGUUGGCUUUGUUCUGGUGGCAAAUAAAAUUUCUUCCAAUAUUGGGGGAUAUUUUCAUAACCCAGAUUGGGUUUCUUAAUCCUCUGGGUUCUCCCCCUCUUUGGUAUAUCAUUUGCUCCAAUUACACAUAUAUACUGUGGUUCAUUUGGGUGUGGAUUUUAUUUUUUUUUGAAUAUUUUUUUUUGAAUAUUUUUUUGUAGCUUUAUGUCAUAACAAAAAGAUAGUUGACAUUAAAAGAAUUAAUAAAUGCAUAAUUUAUUGUAAUUGCCUCCUCUUUCAGCUACAAGGUUUAGAUCCAAUGAUCCUUUCUUGUUGGCUUUGUUCUAGAGGCAAAUAUAAAAUUCAUCCAAUUCCUUUGGGGGGGCUUUUUUAUAACUGUUGGUGUUCUAAUUUCUCUGGUUCCCCCUCCCUUUGGUACAUUUUUAUACAGUCAAAAAACAACAUUAGCCGAACACAAUUUUAUGCUAUAUGCUGCUCUGCUUAUUGUGAACCAAACACUAGAGAAUUUGAC
rnacentral:lncRNA from 1 species